AAAACAAAACAAAACAAAAAAAACCAAGCUGUGCCUCGACCACCUUGUGCACAUGUCGUCAGGACCUCCUGAGGCUGUGUCACAGGCGCAUCCUCAACUUUGGCAAAAGAAACUUUCUAAAUUAACUGACACCUGUCUCAGAUUUUCUGGGUCCACACACUGGACAAAACAGAAGUGAACAAAAUAGCCGAAGUUCCCAAUUGUGUUCCUAUGGUGGGAGUAGGGCAGCAAUGGAGAUGGAAAGCAAACAAGUAAAUGAAGAAAGAAAAUAUCACUGAGAUGUGCUAAGGAGAGAAUUGAAAGAGGGUGAUGAGGUUGAGUAUAAGGAGCUACUUCAGAUAGGUGGUGUAGCAACCCUGGUUCCAGGAAGAAAAACAGAGGCAAGUCAAGUAUUCCAGGAAUAUUGGGUGGUGUGAAUGUGGGAGGAGUUGGAGAGUGAAGGCCUGAAAAGCUUCAGCUCUAGAAUCAGAGAAACUCUCUGCACUUUCACCUGGAAAAGCUGGAACUCAAAGCGAAGUUCAAGAAGUAGCACAAUACUAGCUCUUUGAGUUGGAUUGUGAAGUGUGUCCGUGAGAGUGGCCUUGUCUUACACUCACGACCUCCCAAUAAUAGUGACUUCUGCCUUCCACAUCUUGCUUGAACUCCUCUCCUUGGCAAACCCUAAUCUAGAAGCAUACAGAAAAGGGGACUCUGGGAAACAUAGUUCUCAUCCUCAGAUGGGCCUGGUGGCUUGGUGCUGAGCUGAUAGCUGACAAUUUAACACUGAUGAUCAGAAUGACAUUUAAGCUGAGCUCUAAAUAACAAGAAGGGGUCAGCUUUCCAAAGAUCACAGGGAAGAACAUUCCAGACAGAGAGAGUAACCAGCACAAAGUCACUGAAGCUAGAAAGAGCAUCUUGAGUUCUCCAGAAACAUCAAGAAGGCCAGUAUGCAUGGAGCUGAGUGCAUGAGAGGAAGACUGAUGGGAGAUGCUGUUGGAGAGAAAGGAACGAUAUCUUUAAAAACAUCAGACAGGAUGCCUUCUGGAUCUUCUGUGUGUAUCCCUGUUUCAUCAGAAGAUAAUUGUUUGAAAAUACACAUUUGAAUGGAAAAACUAGCUCAAAUGAAAGGAGACAACGUCUUGUUUGUCCAGAUGACUAAUUAACAAAUCUUGGACUUCCUAUUCCUCUCUGUAAUGGCUUCUUUAUUUGUAUGUUAUUGUUAUCUUUCUCCUCUUUCAGAUUUGAGAUGCAAUAUUAAUCAUUUGCUAGACAUACAAACAAAGGGAUUGCAGCUAGAUUAUAUUGAUAGGAUCACAGUGUUUGUGUUAUACAGAACCUAAUCGCAUCUCUCCAUUUUUGGAUGACUUGGCAUUGUCUCACGAAUCAGCUACUUGCAGGAUUUCCAGCGGGCACAGAAACGGGAUGCUUGCCCAGACUUCAAAGUUUGGCAAACAUAAUGAGAUAGACCUUACAAUGGCUGCUAGUGUAUGUAUUUUCAUGGACUCCCCCUACAUCCUGUUUUAAUUUAAACACAUAUGUUCAUUAUUUUUGAAGUACAUGCAUAUGCUUGAAUAUUUAUUUGGAUAUAAACAAAAUCAUUUUCAUCACAAUUAUUUUUUAAAUUCUAAGGAUAAAGUGACACAAAGAAAUCAAUAUUUCAGAAUAUGUACACAGAAUAAAUGGCUAACUGAAAGUUUUGACAGAUCUACAAUAUUUUACAAAAGGAAUGAAAUGUUUGCCUUUCUUAAUUUAAUGCGUGUCCGAAAUAAUGCAGUAGAGAAGAAAAGUGAGUUAAAAUUUCACCGUAUUUGUUGGUUCUUCAAGAACACCAUGCUACCUUUCCUUGCCUCAGGAAGGAAAUUAGAAAUUGUAAAAUGCUGUUGACUUGCAGCCCUAUCAUGAAUUGGAUGUGAUGAAAAAGUGAAUCAUAAAUGGAGAGAUGUAUUUUUUAAGGAAUAUUUUGUUUAAAAUUCUCAUUUUCUCUUGGUGGCCAUUGCUGUUGCCACUGGCUUCUCACAGGUCUGAUCCUCACACUGCCCUCCAGCUUUAGCUGAUGUUCCCUUUUUUGCAAACAGUGCUUUUCUGAAAAGCUGAAGCCUCCUGCAUCACAUUUCUUUGACUGGCAAAUGUGCUUUCUUUGUUGAAUAAUGAUAAAGUCAUUAAGUCAUUACUUCUCAGCAAUAAGACUCUUUCUGCAUUCAUACAAGUCAUCUGUAAGACCCACAUUUCUGGACCAGCCUGGACAAUCUCCGAUCUGAAGUUUCUUUAACUUAGUGGACAUUUUAAGAAAAAUAAUGCAGAAUUCCAGAUGAAAGCAGGUAAGAAAAUGAAUAUUUAUUUUAGAGUGAGAAAAGAAACCACAAUAAACUAUUGGAGUUUGAGAUUCAGGCCCUUUUGUUUUGACAUCCUUUCAAGCAACUGGCCAGAAAUGACCUCAUAGAACUCUUCCUCCCACAGCCGGGCAUUUCCUAUCGCCUAGAACAUCCAACAGCUCCCGCGGAGUCGACAUGCUCAGUUUUGAGUGUCAGAGACACCUUGAAGCUUAAGCUCAUUAACUUCAGGGCAAAUUUGCCUCUGGUCUAGUGAAUGAAUAAAUUUUGCCAACAGAAAGCAAUCACAACUGACAGUAUUGAACACUAAUUUUGCAUGGACCACUGUCGCAAGCACUUUACACUUUAUUGACUUAUCCUCUCAGCAAUACGUUUUGUCCAGAACCAA
rnacentral:lncRNA from 1 species